GGUCAAGAUAUAAAGAGCGUAGGGCGAAUGCCUUGGCACUAAGAGCCGAUGAAGGACGUGGUAAGCUGCGAAAAGCUACGGGGAACUGCAAACAAGUAUUGAUCCGUAGAUAUCCGAAUGAGGAAACUCACAUAUGGAGAACCGUAUGUAACGUAUGAUGAAUAAAUAGUCAUACGUGGGGAACGAGGGGAACUGAAACAUCUAAGUACCCUUAGGAAGAGAAAGUAAAAAAACGAUACCGAAAGUAGCGGCGAGCGAAAUCGGUAGAGCCCAAACCAUGUUUCGGCAUGGGGUUGCGGACAUAUCAACAAAGUAUCUGAGACGAUAGUCAAAGACUUCUGGAAAGAAGCUCCAAAGAGUGUGAUAGACACGUAGGCGAAAAAGUCAAAGAGCAAGAUAUGAUCCAGAGUACCACAGGACACGAGAAAUCCGGUGGGAAGCAGGGAGGACCAUCUCCCAAGGCUAAAUACUACUUAGUGACCGAUAGAGAAAUAGUACCGUGAGGGAAAGGUGAAAAGAACCCCGGGAGGGGAGUGAAAAAGAACCUGAAACCCUAUGCUUAUAAGCAGUGGGAGCACUACGAGUGUGACCGCGUACUUUUUGUAGAACGGGCCAGCGAGUUACGAUAUGCAGCAAGGUUAAUAACUGAGAGGUUAGGAGCCGAAGCGAAAGCGAGUCUUAAUAGGGCGAAAGUUGCAUGUCGUAGACCCGAAACCAGGUGACCUAUCCAUGAGCAGGUUGAAGCUAGAGUAAAAUCUGGUGGAGGACCGAACCCGUUAGCGUUUAAAAGCUAUGGGAUGACUUGUGGAUAGCGGUGAAAUUCCAAUCGAACCUGGAGAUAGCUGGUUCUCCUCGAAAUAGCUUUAGGGCUAGCCUUAACGUAAGAUUAAUGGGGGUAGAGCACUGAAUAGUCAAGGGACGUUAUACGUUACCGAAACUUAUCAAACUCCGAAUACCAUAAAAUUAGCGUUGGGAGUCAGACUAUGUGAGAUAAGUUUCAUAGUCAAAAGGGAAAGAGCCCAGAUCACCAGCUAAGGUCCCAAAGAUAGAUUAAGUGGAAAAGGAUGUAGGACUACACAGACAACCAGGAAGUUGGCUUAGAAGCAGCCACACUUUCAAAGAGUGCGUAAUAGCUCACUGGUCGAGUGGACCUGCGCCGAAGAUUACCGGGGCUAAAAUCUAUCACCGAAGCUGUGGGAUUGUAUUAAUACAAUCGGUAGAGGAGCAUUCUGUACGAGUCGAAGCGCCAUCGAAAGAGGCUGUGGAUUGUACAGAAGAGAGAAUGCUGGCAUGAGUAGCGAAAGGUGAGUGAGAAUCUCACCCAUCGAAAGACUAAGGAUUCCUGAGGAAGGCUCGUCCACUCAGGGUAAGUCGGGACCUAAGCCGAGGCCAAAAGGCGUAGGCGAUGGAUAACUGGUGGAAAUUCCAGUACCACCGAAGAUCGUUAAAAGAGAAGUGGGGACACAGAAAGAUAAGUUAGCGUACUGAUGGAAUAGUACGUCUAAGUAAGUAGGGAGAAGAGAUAGGCAAAUCCGUUUCUUCAAUAAUCCUGAGAUACGAAUGGGAGCGAAAACAAGUAGUGAAGUAACUGAGUCUACGCUGUCAAGAAAAUCCACUAUCGAGAUCAAGGUGCCCGUACCGUAAACCGACACAGGUAGUCAAGGAGAGAAUCCAAAGAUGAGCGGAAGAACUAUUGUUAAGGAACUAGGCAAAAUAACCCCGUAACUUCGGGAGAAGGGGUGCCCAUGGAAGUGAAAGUCGAACGACCGGAGCUUUAGUGGGCCACAGAAAACAGGCUCAAGCGACUGUUUACCAAAAACACAGGUCUCUGCUAAAUCGAAAGAUGAAGUAUAGGGGCUGACACCUGCCCGGUGCUGGAAGGUUAAGGGGAGCUGUAAGCGUAAGUGAAGCAGUGAACUUAAGCCCCAGUAAACGGCGGCCGUAACUAUAACGGUCCUAAGGUAGCGAAAUUCCUUGUCGGGUAAGUUCCGACCCGCACGAAAGGUGUAACGAUUUGAGCACUGUCUCAACAAUAGAUCCGGUGAAAUUGUAGUACUCGUGAAGAUGCGAGUUACCCGCGGCAGGACGGAAAGACCCCAUGGAGCUUUACUGCAGGCUGACAUUGGAAUUCGGUAUUAAUUGUACAGGAUAGGUGGGAGACUAAGAAACAUGUACGCCAGUAUGUGUGGAGUCGCUGUUGGGAUACCACUCUAUUGAUACUGAAUUUCUAACAUGAUACUGUGAUCCAGUAUAUGGACACUGUCAGUUGGGCAGUUUGACUGGGGCGGUCGCCUCCGAAAGAGUAACGGAGGCGCUCAAAGGUUUCCUCAGCACGGUCGGAAAUCGUGCGAAGAGUGUAAAGGCAGAAGGAAGCUUGACUGCAAGACGUACAUGUCGAGCAGGAACGAAAGUUGGACUUAGUGAUCCGGUGGCGCCGAAUGGAAGGGCCAUCGCUUAACGGAUAAAAGCUACCCUGGGGAUAACAGGCUUAUCUCCCCCAAGAGUCCACAUCGACGGGGAGGUUUGGCACCUCGAUGUCGGCUCGUCUCAUCCUGGGGCUGAAGCAGGUCCCAAGGGUUGGGCUGUUCGCCCAUUAAAGAGGCACGCGAGCUGGGUUCAGAACGUCGUGAGACAGUUCGGUCCCUAUCCGUCGUGGGCGUAGGAAAUUUGAAGGGAGCUGUCCUUAGUACGAGAGGACCGGGAUGGACAGACCUAUGGUGAAUCAGUUGUUCCGCCAGGAGCACGGCUGAGUAGCUAAGUCUGGAAUUGAUAAGCGCUGAAGGCAUCUAAGCGCGAAACAAACCUUAAGAUAAGAUUUCCCAUUACGUAAGUAAGUAAGACCCCUGAAAGACUAACAGGUAGAUAGGUCACAGGUGUAAGUGCAGCAAUGUAUUCAGCUGAGUGAUACUAAUAGGUCGAGGUCUUGACCAA
rnacentral:rRNA from 1 species